rnacentral:RNase_P_RNA from 1 species
AUGGCAGUCCAUUCUAUCGCCUUGGAUUUCACCAUCCAAGGAGGAAAGUCGGGACAACACAGAGUAGCCUGCUUCCUAACAGGAAGGUAUCGCAUAGAGCGAUAACAGAUAGUGCCACAGAAAAGAACCGUCGAAGGGUUGGUUCAGCCAACAAUCGACAAGGGUGAAAACGUGAGGUAAGAGCUCACGCUGCAGGAUGGCGACAUCUUGUGGGGGUAAACCUCAGGCGUUGAAAGGCCAAAUAAACCAGGGAUGCUCUAUGGUUCAUAGAGUGAGAGGGUUACUCGCCCAAUCCUGGAGGGUAGGCCGAUAGAGGUAACAGGUGACUGUUAUCCCAGAUAAAUGAUAGAAAUCCUGAAUUGAGGAUACAGAAUCCCGCUUAUAGGGCUGCCAUCUUU